rnacentral:lncRNA from 1 species
UUCAGGUGGUAGUGUAACCAAAUUAAUGCCAGCUUCUAAUGGGAGUUUAGUCACCUGGAUUGAAGAUAAGAAGUUUCAAACAGGAUGAAGGAAAAGAAUGAGUGCUGAAGGGCAAAAGCAGUGAGCUUUAAGGGAUAUCUUCUAGUUUUUCUUCCAAAACCAUAUCCUUUUGCUCCCUGCUUUAUAUCUGAAGAAGAUGACCUGUACAGAUUACAUCCACAGCCAGAGCUGUAAGUAAUAGAGUUCAAAUUCAUUUUAUCCACCAUAUCUUCAAUUGCCUUCUUUGAACAAAGAUGCCUUUGUUCCCUCAGCUCAAGGAUAGGAGACCCAACUUUGUAAUGGUGGAGCAACUGCAGUGUCUAGCAGCAAUGAGAGCAUCUA